CGGGCGAUUUAUUUGAUCUCCUGGGACGGACAACAUCGGGAAACUGAUGGGAAAACGUCUAAGUUGCAGUUUUUUGAUUGUGACGUAAACCUUUGUGUGCAGGAGAGUAAGAUGCCAUCCUAUCAGUUAGUAAGUAGGGUAAGGGCCUACUUAGACGAAGACGGGUACGGGGAAUGAGGGUUUGAUUCCGGAGAGGGAGCCUGAGAGAUGGCUACCAGGACCAAGGUCAGCAGCAGGCGCGAAAAUUAUCGAAGCCCGCCUAGGGGCGAUAGUGAGGAGACGUGUAUACGAAGUACGUGUAAAGACCGUACUAAUAACUGGAGGUCAAGUCUGGUGCCAGCAUCCGCGGUAAUUCCAGCUCCAGGGGUGUCUAUGAUGAUUGCUGCGAUUAAAAAGUCCGUAGUCGAGCUGACUGACUGACCUGCAAUGUGAUUGAUUAAAGAACGAGCAGGGUUAGGAAAGCAGAGAAUUAGGAGCGACCGAGGGCUA
rnacentral:rRNA from 1 species